rnacentral:rRNA from 1 species
AUUGAACGCUGGCGGCAUGCUUUACACAUGCCAGUCGAGCGGCCGCGCGGCCUUCGGGCUGGCGGCGCGCUGCGAACGGGUGAGUAAUUCAUCCGAACAUGCCCAGUCGUGGGGGAUAACACUUCUAAAGAAGUGCUAAUCCCGCAUACGUCCUGAGGGGGAACGCGGGGGAUCGAUAGACCUAGCGCGAUUUGCGUGGCCGUUGUCAGAUUAGCUAGUUGGUGGGGUAAAGGCCUACCAAGGCGACGAUCUGUAGCUGGUCUGAGAGGAUGAUCAGCCACACUGGGACUGAGACACGGCCCAGACUCCUACGGGAGGCAGCAGUGGGGAAUUUAGGACAAUGGGGGCAACCCUGAUGCAGCCAUGCCGCGUGAGUGAAGAAGGCCUUCGGGUUGUAAAGCUCUUUCAUCAGGAAAGAAACAAUGGGCUAUAACAUAGGCCGCUAAUGACGGUACCUGAAGAAGAAGCACCGGCUAACUACGUG